GCGAAAACUUAAUCGAAUACAAGAAAAUAUGCUCAAAAAAUAUGAUACGGUUCUUUACAACCAUUUACGAGAUAUGAAUAUUGAACCACAACUUUAUGGCUUACGAUGGGUACGAUUGUUGUAUGGUCGUGAGUUUACUACGAUGGAAGAUAUUUUAACCCUUUGGGAUGGUAUAUUUGCUGAUGGUCUCUCUUUGGAUUUAGUCGACUACGUCUAUUUAUCGUUGGUAUGCAGCAAA